AAACCAACCGGGAUUGCCCUAGUAACGGCGAGUGAAGCGGCCAAAGCCCAAAUUUGAAAUCCUCUUUUGAGGAGUUGUAAUUUGGAGAUGGAGUGCUGGACUCAGCUCUGUGGAAGUUGGCUGGAAAGCCGCGCCUUGGAGGGUGAUAGCCCCGUGCCACGGAGGUCCUGUGUCUGUGUAGUACUCUUUCUACGAGUCGCGUUGUUUGGGAAUGCAGCGCUAAGUGGGUGGUAAAUUCCAUCUAAGGCUAAAUAUUGGCGAGAGACCGAUAGCGAACAAGUACUGUAAAGGAAAGAUGAAAAGCACUUUGAAAAGAGAGUGAAAUAGCACGUGAAAUCGUUGAAGUGGAAGGGCUUAAAGCUACACACCUUCUUCGGAAGGGGCUAACAUCAGUUUUGCCGGAUGGAUAAAUGGUAAAGAAAGUGGCAUCUUCGGAUGUGUUAUAGCUUUAUCAAAUACGUCCCGGCGGGAUUGAGGACCGCGCUUUAUGCAAGGAUGUGGGCGUAAGGGUUUUAACCAAC
rnacentral:rRNA from 1 species